ACUGUUCAGUGAUGGGCCCAGAGCAAGCCCUGAGCAGUGUCUGAACUGUGAGGGGUGGCACCAUGUUGCCUUCCUUCUGAGAAAGC